rnacentral:rRNA from 1 species
AAGAUUGUAGUCUGAGACAAAAUAUAAAUUAUUUAAAACUUUCAACAACGGAUCUCUUGGUUCCGGCAUCGAUGAAGAACGCAGCGAAAUGCGAUACGUAAUGUGAAUUGCAGAAUUCAGUGAAUCAUCGAGUCUUUGAACGCACAUUGCGCCCUCUGG